rnacentral:rRNA from 1 species
AGUGAACGCUGGCGGUAGGCCUAACACAUGCAAGUCGAACGGCAGCACAGUAAGAGCUUGCUCUUACGGGUGGCGAGUGGCGGACGGGUGAGGAAUACAUCGGAAUCUACUUUUUCGUGGGGGAUAACGUAGGGAAACUUACGCUAAUACCGCAUACGACCUACGGGUGAAAGCAGGGGAUCUUCGGACCUUGCGCGAUUGAAUGAGCCGAUGUCGGACUAGCUAGUUGGCGGGGUAAAGGCCCACCAAGGCGACGAUCCGUAGCUGGUCCGAGAGGAUGAUCAGCCACACUGGAACUGAGACACGGUCCAGACUCCUACGGGAGGCAGCAGUGGGGAAUAUUGGACAAUGGGCGCAAGCCUGAUCCAGCCAUACCGCGUGGGUGAAGAAGGCCUUCGGGUUGUAAAGCCCUUUUGUUGGGAAAGAAAAGCAGCAGGUUAAUACCCCGCUGUUCUGACGGUACCCAAAGAAUAAGCACCGGCUAACUUCGUG